rnacentral:tRNA from 1 species
GAUAGUAUAGUGGCUAGUAUCCCCGCCUGUCACGCGGGAGACCCGGGUUCAAUUCCCGGU